ACUACACCUUGCUACAGCAUUUGGAUAUGGUAUUCAUCAGUACGUAUGGUUGUUAUUGUCAUAACAUGCAGGGGCGGAUCUAGGAUACAAGCAACGUCUCUUCACAAGGAAUUCCUACAACUGGCACAACAAGAGAAAGAUAAUCUCAACGAAACAGUGGUGUCUUAGAUGCGCAUGACCUUUCAUCGCACAAAACGCUUUCGACAAGUUUUAUGAACAUAACACCUGCAGAAAGACGUUCUCAACCAAACAUUAAUGGCUUCCAAAGAUCAGUUUACACCAAACUGGAAACAUUAAUUGAUAAGCAAGAAGAAGCGUUGUCAAUAUUGCGUGCUCUGUUAAGCACUACGAAGGGUGUAGACGAGCACGAAAUUUUGGAAGAUGUUGUACCUAAUGCCUUAGAUUCUGUUGAAGAACUUGAGGAUCUAUCCUCUAGUCUUGAUGAAGAAAAGUCCAGAAGAAAGUUGGUAAGUUUUAGAAAGUUAACCACCCAU